rnacentral:lncRNA from 1 species
UUAGAGGCUGCCACGUUGAAAUUAUGCUUGAAAUAUGUCCUAAAUAAUCUUAGUCUAGAUAGUUUAAUAUACAGCAAACUUAAUUUACUAACAAAAAUAAGGCAAUCAUUUAAUGCUUACUCAAACUGUAAUUAAUAAUAUACAAUCAUGGAUUCGCCAAGCAUAUACUAAUAUAUUUCCCAAAGAAGCUAUAGUAUCAAGCGACAACAUUUGCAAAAUUCUUAUUAUUUUAAACAAAAUACUAUUUAUCUAGCAUAAUUUUCUCUACAAAAAGUGUCAAAAUGACACAAAUUACAGGCUAUAUUUAUUGAAUUUUAGCACAUGUAGUUAUCAUAAUCAUGCUACUUAAAGCUAAAAUACCAUGGUUCAUGUUCAUCAAUUAUCUUGAACUUGCUUUUGUUCUGCUUUUAAACGUUGUUGAACCAUAGAUAUAUAAAUUGCAGCUUUCAUGUCAACACUUUCAUCUGACGGAAAGUUAUCGCUCCAACAAUCGGUUACUACAAUCGAAACUUUUGGGUUCGGCUUUGCGUAAUCCUUGUGAACUACAACAAAUGAUGCAGGGGAAGGAGAAGAAUGAUUUGGCUUAACAUUGGUUGUUGUUGUUGUUGUAUAUUCUAAGGUUGAAGAAGGUUUUGUUGUUCUAAAAAGAGGUGCAAUUUUUCCUUUCAAGAGUCCUCUGUUUCGCUUUCGGUUUGCUUCCAUUUUUGAGAUAGCAAAUUGUGAAGAGUUAAAAGGACUAAAGUAUAGGGUGUAAAUUUGUGUAGCUUAGAAAUUAGAGGGUGUGUGGGUAUAUAUAUUGCUCUAUGAUUCCUUUUUGUUUACAAUUGGAUUAUGCAAUGGGUGGGACCCACCUAUCACAAGGCAAUGGGCCUGGAUUGGAUUCUUU